rnacentral:rRNA from 1 species
GAGACAGCAGUAGCCGCGGUAAUACGGAGGGUGCAAGCGUUACUCGGAAUCACUGGGCGUAAAGGACGCGUAGGCGGAUUAUCAAGUCUCUUGUGAAAUCUAACGGCUUAACCGUUAAACUGCUUGGGAAACUGAUAAUCUAGAGUAAGGGAGAGGCAGAUGGAAUUCUUGGUGUAGGGGUAAAAUCCGUAGAUAUCAAGAAGAAUACCUAUUGCGAAGGCGAUCUGCUGGAACUUAACUGACGCUAAUGCGUGAAAGCGUGGGGAGUAAACAGGAUUAGAUACCCGGGUAGUCCCUGUCUCUUAUAC